rnacentral:rRNA from 1 species
GGUUUGAUCAUGGCUCAGAUUGAACGCUGGCGGGAUGCUUUACACAUGCAAGUCGAACGGCAGCACGGACUUCCGGUCUGGUGGCGAGUGGCGAACGGGUGAGUAAUGUAUCGGAACGUGCCUAGUAGCGGGGGAUAACUACGCGAAAGCGUAGCUAAUACCGCAUACGCCCUUCGGGGAAAGCGGGGGACCUUCGGGCCUCGCACUAUUAGAGCGGCCGAUAUCGGAUUAGCUAGUUGGUGGGGUAACGGCUCACCAAGGCGACGAUCCGUAGCUGGUUUGAGAGGACGACCAGCCACACUGGGACUGAGACACGGCCCAGACUCCUACGGGAGGCAGCAGUGGGGAAUUUUGGACAAUGGAAACCUGAUCCAGCCAUCCCGCGUGUGCGAUAACAGAGGCCUUCGGGUUGUAAAGCACUUUUGGCAGGAAAGAAACGGCGCGGAUAAUACCCCGUGCAGCUGACAGUACCUGCAGAAUAAAAAGCACCGGCUAACUACGUGCCAGCAACCGCGGUAAUACAUGGGGUGCAAGCGUUAAUCGGAAUUACUGGGCGUAAAGCGUGCGCAGGCGGUUCGGAAAGAAAGAUGUAGGAAAUUGCAAGAGCUUAACCUGGUCUGCAUUUUUAACUACCGAGCUAGAGUGUGUCAGAGGGAGGUGGAAUUCCGCGUGUAGCAGUGAAAUGCGUAGAUAUGCGGAGAACACCGAUGGCGAAGAGCAGCCUCCUGGGAUAACACUGACGCUCAUGCACGAAAGCGUAGAGGGAGCAAACAGGAUUAGAUAUACCCUGGUAGUCCACGCCCUAAACAGUGUCAACUAGCUGUUGGGGCCUUCGGGCCUUGGUAGCGCAGCUAACGCGUGAAGUUGACCGCCUGGAAUACGGUCGCAAGAUUAAAACUCAAAGGAAUUGACGGGGACCCGCACAAGCGGUGGAUGAUGUGGAUUAAUUCGAUGCAACGCGAAAAGCCUUACCUACCCUUGACAUGUCUGGAAUCCCGAAGAGAUUUGGGAGUGCUCAUAAGAGAACCGGAACACAGGUGCUGCAUGGCUGUCGUCAGCUCGUGUCGUGAGAUGUUGGGUUAAGUCCACAACAGGCGCAACCCUUGUCAUUAGUUGCUACGAAGGGCACUCUAAUGAGACUGCCGGUGACAAACCGGAGGAAGAUUGGGGAUGACGUCAAGUCCUCAUGGCCCUUAUGGGUAGGGCUUCACACGUCAUACAAUGGUCGGGACAGAGGGUCGCCAACCCGCGAGGGGGAGCCAAUCCAGAAACCCGAUCGUAGUCCGGAUCGCAGUCUGCAACUCGACUGCGUGAAGUCGGAAUCGCUAGUAAUCGCGGAUCAGCAUGUCGCGGUGAAUACCAUUCCCCGAGGUCUUGUACACCGCCCGUCACACCAUGGGAGUGGGUUUUGCAGAAGUAGUUAGCCUAACCGUAAGGAGGGCGAUUUACGGCCAGGAUUCAUGACUGGGGGUGAAGUCAUGGCCUAAAGGUAA